rnacentral:rRNA from 1 species
AUUGAACGCUGGCGGCAGGCCUAACACAUGCAAGUCGAGCGAGCGGCGGAAGGGUGAGUAAUGUCUGGGAAACUGCCUGAUGGAGGGGGAUAACUACUGGAAACGGUAGCUAAUACCGCAUACCAUCAGAUGUGCCCAGAUGGGAGUAGCUAGAAGGUGGGGUAACGGCUCACCUAGGCGAAGAUCCCUAGCUGGUCUGACGGGAUGACCAGACACACUGGAACUGAGCCACGUCCCAGACGCCUACGGGAGGAACCAGAGGGGAAUAUUGCACAAUGGGCGCAAGCCUGAUCCAGCCAUGCCGCGGGUGUGAAGAAGGCCUUCGGGUUGUAUAGCACUUUCAGCGGAGAGGCGUUACCCGCAGAAGAAGCACCGGCUAACUCCGUGCCAGCCGCCGCGGUAAUAC